rnacentral:rRNA from 2 species
AUACAUGCAGUCGGGCGAACUGAUUAGAAGCUUGCUUCUAUGACGUUAGCGGCGGACGGGUGAGUAACACGUGGGCAACCUGCCUGUAAGACUGGGAUAACUUCGGGAAACCGAAGCUAAUACCGGAUAGGAUCUUCUCCUUCAUGGGAGAUGAUUGAAAGAUGGUUUCGGCUAUCACUUACAGAUGGGCCCGCGGUGCAUUAGCUAGUUGGUGAGGUAACGGCUCACCAAGGCAACGAUGCAUAGCCGACCUGAGAGGGUGAUCGGCCACACUGGGACUGAGACACGGCCCAGACUCCUACGGGAGGCAGCAGUAGGGAAUCUUCCGCAAUGGACGAAAGUCUGACGGAGCAACGCCGCGUGAGUGAUGAAGGCUUUCGGGUCGUAAAACUCUGUUGUUAGGGAAGAACAAGUACGAGAGUAACUGCUUGUACCUUGACGGUACCUAACCAGAAAGCCACGGCUAACUACGUGCCAGCAGCCGCGGUAAUACGUAGGUGGCAAGCGUUAUCCGGAAUUAUUGGGCGUAAAGCGCGCGCAGGCGGUUUCUUAAGUCUGAUGUGAAAGCCCACGGCUCAACCGUGGAGGGUCAUUGGAAACU